rnacentral:lncRNA from 1 species
GGUCUUUUGAUGUCUCCUUUCUCUUCAGUCUGAAAGGGCCUCUUAGUGACUAAAAUGUAAGCAUGCAGUUUGCCCUUCAUGCUCAGACUUAACUGCUCCUGGGACUCAUUUUUUUUUUUUUACAAGAUGCAAGGUAGGGCUCAGACUUUUUAAAAAUUUGUCUGCAUUUUUAUACCCAGUUGUAGUAGCACCAUUUAUCAAUCAUCUUUAGUGCAACCAUUUCAUAAAAUAAAUGUCUUCUUUUCCUGAAGCUUGGGACACUUGGAGCACUUGAUGUCAGUGUUUCUGGCAGAGUGUGUCCCAUAGACCAGCAAUGUCAUCAUCACUUGGCCAUAUGUAGAUUAUUGCCACUCCUCCCUUGCACACUGAAAACAUAGCAGGGCAGGACAGCUGCAGUCUGUUGCAAUAGAACCUCAUGUGGUUCUGAUGUAUGCUUAAGUAUAGGAAUGUCAGUGUAAUGACAGAUGUUAGGCCACCAAAGAAUUAUAAGUCCAGCUUCAAAAACUGAAGGUAUCUGUUUGUAAUUAUUUUUGUUUUUGUUUUGUUUUUUUUCUUUUGGAGACAAGGUUUCUCUGUGUAGCCCUGGCUGUCCUGGAACUCACUCUGUAGAUAAGGCUGACCUCGAAUUCAGAAAUCUGCCUGCCUCUGCCUCCUUUAGCAAAUCCUACUGGUGGGUGUGCAUCACCGCAACUGGCCUGUUUGUAAUUCUACAUUCCUAUGGUUUUCUACUCCAUCUCUACCUCGUAUCAUGAAUUUGCUGGUGAUGCUGGAGGUUAUGGAAAGGAAUCAUACCUAGGUUAUGGUAACAAUGAAGGAAAGCCCUUUAAGGGUAUCAUUAUAGCAGCAAAAAGACUGCUGCUGCUGCUGCUCUCUAUAUCUGUAUGGGUUUCCACCUUGUUUUCAGGCCCAGGAAUGUGUGACAGCUCAUUUGAUCUUAUCAUUUUUUAAUUUGGGGUAUUGAAUUAAUUUCUAUCAGAAGGAUAGGUCCAAGUACCUAUUCCACUAUAUUUCUCAGACUUUUUCUGUUGACUUGAAUAGAUUUUUUUCCCUAGCUUUCUGUUUAGGAAAAUGCAAACUGAGGUGUUAGUAUGACAUUGUCAACCUGUUGUGCUAUUGGAACUUAGGUGAAAUCUUUUUAAAUUAUGACUCCCCUAACCUGCCCAGGCAGGGUUUCUCUGACUGUUCUGGACCUCACUCUGUAGACCAGCCUGGCCUCCUGAACUCAGUGAUUCUCCUGCCUCUGACUCCUGAGUGCUGGAAUUAAAGGCAUGUGCCACCUUUGCUUGGCUAUGACUUACUUUCUUGCAUACUCAAAAGUAACAGGAAGAUGAGGGAAAUAUGCAGAAGGCAAGCAUCCACUGUAAUGUCUCCAGAGAUCUGCUUAACAGAGGAGUCGCCACACUUGUGCAGCGUGCUAUGUGGCUGCUGGGGAUCAGACGCCUGGCUUUAUGCUGUGUGGCCUGUGCAGCAAGGUCCUUAUUCGCUGAGAAGCCAGCCCAGCCUCAGUCUUUGAUCCUUGUGCUUCUAUCUCCCCAAGUGUUGGGUUGCUGCUAUGCACACUGUUCCAUUUGUGUUUCAUACAUAAAUAUAUAACUUGAAUGUUAUUUUAUAAUUAUAUAUAAAUAAGCUCACUGUAAUUUUGUACAGCCUUUUUAGCUUCACACAUUUGACCUGCCAUGAGGUCAGGUGUGAAUCUUUUUUUUUUUUUUUUAAAAUAAAACUUGUGUCAUGCCAGCACUCAAGUUUGGGAUUUUGGACUGCUUUGUGUUUGCUCUUUGAGGCAGGGUCUUAUAAUCCAAUUGUCAGGCUUCUGCUUCCUGAGUGCCAGGAUGUCAGGCAUACACCACUGACCUGACACACUUUGAAUCUUGGAGUUGGGGUGCUCAAUUGGUAUCUGUUCUGGGGGUCAUCACUGUUAAAUCUGUUUGAUGGGACUUCUGUAUAAGAAUGUGCUAGUGUGCUACUACCAGUCUCUUUGAGACUGUAUAGAGUGGUAGUGUGGCAACUUGUAAUCACGUGCAUUAGAGCAGCUGGUAAGUAUCUACCAGGAUGCUGCUUGGUAUAGCAUCUUGCUUUUAGAUACCAUUGAUCUACCAUUCUAGCAAAUGUGCUUAGGCAGUUCCAUAAUAAUAUGAAACUAUUGAAUUUUCUUCAAAUGCUUUAAAAGAUACUUUAAAAUUAGAGAGGAUACAACUUGUUUCAUUUUCUGCUAAUUUGUUCUUUUAGUUUUUUGUACUCUGAUUGGAAAUUAGGACUUUGAGCACAACUGGCAAAUGCUUAACCACUGAGCUGUCUGGAUCUUGGUCUUUUGAGACAGUGUCUCACUCUGAAAUUGAAAUGUUCCUUCCUGCCACUAUGAAACUUUAUACUUUUUUUUGUUGGUGGUGGUGGUGCUUAGCUAACUCAUUGCUAGCUAAGCUUUCUACCCUGGCUACAACUCCUUAGCCUUUAAAGCAUACAGUAUUUAAAGGGAUUUUUGAAAAACCUUUUCUUAUAUCAAAUAGCCACCCCCAAUUUACCUGUCUUAUAUAAAUCACUAGAAUUCAUUGGAACAAGAAGGAAUAUACUUUUUAAAAAUAAUGGACAUAUUAUAUGUGUGCUUUAAGUCAUUUGAACUUUGUAAGCAUGUAUCUAAACAAUAAUAAUGAUGAUAAUAGUAAUAAAGUUAGAUGAAGUAGAGGAGCAUUUAGCAAAAUGUUUUUGGCUUGAAGUAAAAUCUUUUAAAAUGAAAGCUAACAUCCUAUUAGAUUUAUUAAAUUCUCUAUCAACAAUUUAUGUUCAGUGCCAGGUUUCACACAAUGUAAAAGAGACAUGGCUGGAAGUAAGGAAGUUCCUGAAGCAGCCUUCUGUGGCAUGAGAUACAAACGAGUGGAUUAGGUAUUGUGAGCUUUCACUGUUUUUCAGGAGAAUGGUUAGUUAUCAACCACACCAGUAGUUAAUAAAGGCAUUUAUUUUGCUUAGUGAAAUGUUGAAAAGGCAUUUGAGCUGUGUGGGUCCAUUGUGGUGGAUGGCAUUAACUUGCUGAAGUACUGGAGAGAAGUAAGGCAGCAGGAUGCUGCUGGGUUCCUCUGAUGACUCUGAUUGCACACACCAUUGCAGGACAGCUAUUGGCCUUCCUUUGUUGCCUUCCCACAUCUGUUCUCUGGAAUAGUUUAGUGAGCUGGAUUUCCACGGGAGUAAAGUAGACUGAGAAGCAAAGGGGCACAUCUGGUUCCUGGGCUUGCAGGAGAGUGGAUGACUGCCCGUGUGCGCCCCCCCCCCCCCCGUAUUUGCUGGAUUAUUUAUUCUGGGUGCCUAAAUUUGAUGCUACUGAGCUGCCACUUCUUAAGCUUAGUAUUCAUUGGGUUUUCCCUCUUUUUUUCCCCUCCUGCUCUGCUACCCCUAGUCCUUCUGGAACCAGUAGUCUAAUGGUAAGUAUUUAAAUAAGACAAAGUUUUUGACCUAGUGGGGAUCUUUUUGCCCUCACUCAUCUUGGCGAAAACUUUGCAGACUCCAGCUGGUCUCUGUGGUUUUGCAGGUUUCAUUGUUGCCUUGUUUGUGUGUAGGCUGAUAAAACUUCUGUUUUGAGGUCCCCCUGUCCUUGCAUGUUGUGUCAAAAGGCAUCCAUUGUUUGUGUUUCAUGUUUUUCUUGGAGCUUGCAUUACCUCCCCCUUUCCUUUUUUUUUUGUGUUUUGUUUGCAGGCUCAGUCAGGGAGGGAGGGAAAGGUGUCCUGGCUUUCUCACUACUUUGUUUGCUUCAGUACUGGGAAGCUAAGCUUCUGUUGAGUGGGCAGCGCUCAAAGCACAGGAGCUAGUAUUUUUGAGCUUUAGAGUUAGUCUGAGUCUGCUAACCAUACUUCUAUUUGUUUUGUUUUUUGAGACAGAGUUUCUCUGUGUAGCCUUGGAAGUCCUGGACUUACGGUAGACCUGACUGGCCUUGAACUCAGAGAUCUGUCUGCCUCUGCCUCCCAAGUGCUGGGACAAAAGGUGUGUGCCACCUCUUCUGGAGACUAGUGAUACUUUUGAAAAGGCAUUGACUGGUAUCUCUGGUAAAUUUUCUGCCAAAUUCUGUGUUGCAUUAGAACUCAUUUAAAUGUGAAAAAAAUCAAACGCUAUGAAGUAUUUUUUAAAGGUACACAUGUUUUUAGGGUUUAUCAAACCAUAGUAUGCAGUUACCUCAGGACUCUGUUGUAAUGAAAUUUACAUUUGCAACCAGGUCAGCUUCUUUAUUCAUUAAGUUUAGAUUAUGAUCUAUAAUUGGAAAACAAUUAAGAGCACCAGGCUAGACUAAGAAGACUAAACUUUUAGUAGUGAAAUUUGGAGAAAGAACUUUGAUAGAAUUCUGUCAUCAAAUCAAAUGUGUAAUUUUUAUACAUUUGUAAAAUAUCUUUAAGCAAAAUUAGUAAAAGGAUACAGUUAUACAGCAAGUACCCAACUGUCACUGUGUACAGGAGAAUCUGAGUUCCUAGCCAUGGGCCAUUAACUCUAAAGCUCCCUUUUGUCUUAGAGUAAUUGUAAGCCUUGUUUGCUGAUAAUGACUUCUUUGCCUUUGUGUUUCAUUAUUGGUACAUUUUAAAUAGCAUUUUGCCACCUUGAUAUAAAAGCAGUUCGUUACACUCCUGUUUUGGAUUUUGCUUCUUUCCCUCCAAUAUUACAUUUAUAAAGCUUGUUUAUAAAGUUUAUUUAUAUUGAAUAUAGCUGUUAUAGAGUCUGUAAUAUUCCCUUUUAUGAAUAUAUCAGAAUUUAUUUUCUAGAGGAAAAAAAGUAAUGAGUACUAAGGAAGCAGACGAGGCCCAGUGAGAUAGGAGACCAGCUUGCCUAUCAGGAGAUGUUGUUUUACAUUUGAAAUCCUUUUCCAUGCUGUUUUUCAUUGUUUUUAAGCAGCUACUUCUGGUUGAGGAAGUUUCUCACAAUGUUCUGGAAUGAUGAAUUUUAUCUUAUUUCAUAAUUGGGCAUUUGUUUCCAUUUUGCUACUAGGAAAACUAUGGCUGGGUCACUCGUUUGUAGUGUGGUGCAUUCAUGCCCAUACUCCUUUAGGGCAUAGUUCUCAAAGUGUUUUGAACGUUUUAGAAAUGUAGAAUCCUUGACUGCUCCCCACCCAAGCUGCCUUCCCCCAUCCCUUUCAGUCAGAAUCUCUGGGGAUAAAUCUAGGAAACUAACGUUAGGCUCUCAGAUGAAUUCUCCACACAGUAAAACUAGGGGAGCCGACACCCCGAUACAGGAUUGGGCUGUCUGAGCCGCAGCUGGGUGCCCUUGCAGAUCGGAGUUGAACUUUUCUGUGGAGGUCGUGUGUGUGUAUCAAGUGCUACUUAGCACUGGGGUGGCUGGGCAUCUGUCCCUGUGCAGCCUGUAAUGGGAACUUAUUUUAAACUUUGAAUUUUGUAAGGAGAGUUUGAAUAGUUUCUAAGUUCAUUUUUAACAACAGCUGAGUUUUGAUUUUUCACAUUAACUGAAAGAACUGACAGUUUUACUGUGAAUUUUGUACAUAUUUUAUUAGAAAAGUUUUCAAGCAUACUCUGAAGUAUAAAGAGUAUACUGAACAAAUAAAGUGUCAUGUCAUGCCCGUUCUACAUCUACUGUAUUGUCUUACAUUUGCUUCAUUGCUUUUUUUGAAUUAUUUUAAGCCAAUUUUCUGGCAUGAUGUCAUUUCACUCCCUGUACUCAAGCAUGAAUAUCUAAAAUAUGAGCCAUUUUCAUGAUGUAAACACAAUGUCAUACAUACUAAGGGGCAUUAUUUAGCUUGAGUUAGCAUAAGAAUAAGUUAAUGUGUAUAGGAAUUCUAAAAUGAUGAUAUAAUUUCUAUUUGUAUACUUAGAGCCUUAGGUUUUGAGUUAAAUUAUUCUUUAAAAAUUUUCACUCUAAUAAGUUCAGUUAGUCACAAGAUCCGACUGAAUGUUUUCUCUUCCCAACAAAGUGAGAAAUCUACUUUUGAUAUAAUUACUUAAAUAAUGUUAUUAACUUUGCUACCAUGGUAUAAAGGAAUUAUAUUUUUCAUUUUUGGACAUGUUCCUCCUAACCCCCAUGAUUCUUUUAAGAAUGAGAAAGUGUUUCAGAUUUUAUGUAGUUUAUAGCUUAUUUACCAACUCAAUAGAUGAUUUUUUUUGCUAGCAAAUAGAGAAUUAAAUGGCACUCAGUUCUGAAUAACAAUUUCUGGAGAUCCCAGACAGACGCCCCUCUAACCUGCUGAGGGCUUGCUUUUGAACUGUUCAGUAUUAGUGUUUAGAUAACCCAAGCAAUGGGUAGUUAGGGGUUUGUUUUUGUCCACUAUGCUGGUCAUUGGAUUAAAAAGAGAGAGAGAGAAGGACUUUUACAGUAGUUAGGAAGGCAAAAAUUAAGAAAUAUACUAUGUUAUUAAGCAGUUCAGAUUGGUACUUAGUAAUUGUCUUGAAAUUACAAUGAUUGAGUUAAAUACUAAGUUGUGUUGAAUAUCGUAGUAUGUAAUAUAUAUUUAAAUAUGUUGGGCUGGAGAGAUGGCUCAGCAGUUAAGAGUAUUGGUUGCUCUUCCAGAGGAUCCAGGUUCAAUUCUCAGCACACACAUUAUUUGUCCCUCCAGUCCCUGGGGAUCUGAUAGCCUCACAAAGACAUACAGACAUGCAAAAUACCAAUGUAUAUAACUCAAAAAAUAAAGUCAUUUAAAACUGUAAGUGUAGAUUAGGGUUGAUGGAGUAAGUGGACAGUGGGUAAGAGGUGUAUAUGCCAUACAGGGGAGAGAAGAGAACCAGUUUGUACAACAGUUUGUCAGUGAGGACAGGAGCCUCGGUAGCAGGGAUCUCUAGUGGCAUUUCAGCAGGUAGC